rnacentral:rRNA from 1 species
UACGGGGGGGACAAGUGUUGUUCGGUCCGACUGGGCGUACAGCGUUGCUAGACAGUUUAUUGAGAGUUUUUCACGUAAAACCGAGCUUAAACUCGGAGCUGUGAAGAAAUAAAACCGAUUUUCUUGUGUCAUAAGGGGGUAAGCCUUAUUUGAGGCUCCGUUUAAGGUUAAAAUCGACGUAGCCCAAGGAGGAUCUAGGGCGAAGGCAGCUUACCAUUUAUGGCAGACGUCAAACGACAAAAGCGUGGGGAGCAAACGGG